UAGCUGGUGGAAGUUCAGUCAAGGUAACAGCCAAAUGGCCUUGUAGCUGACGGAAAGCUGGUGGAGAAAUCCUAAGGCUGAAGCUCCGUGACAAAGUGACUCGAAAGAGUUGCGAACACUCAUCAGACCGUAAUAUGA
rnacentral:ncRNA from 1 species